GACGAACGCUGGCGGCGUGCUUAACACAUGCAAGUCGAGCGGUAAGGCCCUUUCGGGGGUACACGAGCGGCGAACGGGUGAGUAACACGUGGGUGACCUGCCCUCAGCUCUGGGAUAAGCCCGGGAAACUGGGUCUAAUACCGGAUAUGACUCCAUGGCGCAUGUUGUGGGGUGGAAAGCCUUGUGCGGCUGAGGAUGGGCCCGCGGCCUAUCAGCUUGUUGGUGGGGUGAUGGCCACCAAGGCGACGACGGGUAGCCGGCCUGAGAGGGCGACCGGCCACACUGGGACUGAGAUACGGCCCAGACUCCUACGGGAGGCAGCAGGUGGGGAAUCUUGCGCAAUGGGCGAAAGCCUGACGCAGCGACGCCGCGUGAGGGAUGACGGCCU
rnacentral:rRNA from 1 species